CCCGCUGAACUUAAGCAUAUCAGCCAGCGGAGGAAAAGAAACUAACAAGGAUUCCCCCAGUAGCGGCGAGCGAAGCGGGAGCAGCAUGGCAUUGGAAUCAGGAAACUGAAUUGUAGAGUGUGGGAUGGAGCUGGCUCGGCGAUGCAGGUUCUCUGGAAGGGGACGCCAUAGAGGGUGAGAGCCCCGUUGGAUCGCGUGGGGCGGCUCGGAUGCCACACAAAAAGUCGAGUUGCUUGGGAAUGCAGCUCAAAGCGGGUGGUACAGAUCAUCUAAUGCUAAAUAUAGGCAGGAGACCGAUAGCGAACAAGUACCGCGAGGGAAAGAUGAGAAGCAGUCUGAAGAGACCGUGAAAAGAGCGUGAAAUUGUUGAAAGGGAAGCGUAUGUGUGGGUGUGUGGGGGCGAGGGGAGUUUGGUAUUCGUAUCGAGCUCGAUAUUCGCCCCCGACUGCUCUUGCGGCAAGUGAGGGACAGGCACGGUCGAUUGCAUUCGUGCAGGAGACUGUCCUCGACGGCACUAGCUGCGAGGGUGCUUCGUCUAAUAACGAAGAUCAAACACAACCACACAUAUGUCCCGUCUUGAAACACGG
rnacentral:rRNA from 1 species